AGACAGAGGAGGGGGUUAAUUGCUGGACACUUACAGUGGCAGUAAUCGAUCUGGAGCACAGCUGAGUUCUAAACAUAGUGCUGAGGGUGGAAAUACCUGAACCUCCUGGCAGGGAUGAAUACUUCUGUCAUUGAUUCUCUUGCAAGGAGUAACAAUCUAUCAGUGGAUACCCUGGAAAGCUCCGUCAGAACUGCGAACGUUCAAAUGAGGUCAGCUGUCAUUGUUCUAAAUGCCAGAGAGUACAGACUCAUUUGCUCAGUCUCUCAUCAUAGGCCAUCUCUCUCAUCCCAUGGACCAAUUUAAUGUUACAACAGAGGCUGAAGGAGUGCAUUGUUGCUCUUGUCCCAUUACUCCA